rnacentral:rRNA from 1 species
CUAAGACCGGAUAACUGGUUUUCUCGCAUGAGAGAAUCAUGAAACACGGAGCAAUCUGUGGCUUAUAGAUGGGCCUGCGGCGCAUUAGCUAGUUGGUAGGGUAACGGCCUACCAAGGCGACGAUGCGUAGCCGACCUGAGAGGGUGAACGGCCACACUGGGACUGAGACACGGCCCAGACUCCUACGGGAGGCAGCAGUAGGGAAUCUUCCGCAAUGGACGCAAGUCUGACGGAGCAACGCCGCGUGAGUGAUGAAGGUUUUCGGAUCGUAAAGCUCUGUUGCCCUAGACGAACAGCAAGGCGAGUAACUGCGCUUUGUGUGACGGUAUAGGAGAAGAAAGCCCCGGCUAACUACGUGCCAGCAGCCGCGGUAAUACGUAGGGGGCAAGCGUUGUCCGGAAUUAUUGGGCGUAAAGCGCGCGCAGGCGGUUAAUUAAGUUGGGUGUUUAAGCCCGGGGCUCAACCCCGGUUCGCAUCCAAAACUGGUUGACUUGAGUGUAGGAGAGGAAAGUGGAAUUCCACGUG